GGCACAGUGGAAGACGAAGAUGAACAUGCCCUGGAAGGCGUUGAAGGUGGUGAAGAGAUAGGCCAUGACGAUGGACUCCUUGUUGAUGAAGAGGAGGCCGAAGGCCCAGCACCUCUGGACUCACCACGAUAAUGAAGGAGACGGGGCCGAUGAAGCUCCAGAUGAAAUUGGAAAAGGAAAACAAACUCUCCCACAUUUUCAACUCCCAGUUGGGUUUUCAACUUUGAAUGAACUAAGCUGAACUCGUUGGAUAAAAUGCAAAGAAGGACACAGAUAAGGCUACUGCUGUCAUGAGCUGGUUUAGUUCUUCAACAAACUCCAGUUCCAAAUGCUGAACCAGUGACU